rnacentral:rRNA from 1 species
CAGUGGCUAUAGCAAAGAGGUCCACCUGAUACCAUUCCGAACUCAGUAGUUAAGCUCUUUUACGCCGAAGAUACCGGAAACGGGAAAAUAGGGAGCCGCUUUUUU